UACAAUUUGAUUGCAAUUUACAAUUAUGCUUGUUUUCAAAUACUAAGCAUUUAUUGUUUUUAUUUCAGAUCCAGACAAGGGACAAUUGAGAAAUACAGGAAUACAUCAUUCCCUCGAUGUGUGGCAUGGUACCAAAAACCUCUCUAAAUGAACACUCGCAUCAGCAAAAGCAGCGCUCAAUUCUAUUGCAGUGGAGUAAAGACAUCUGUAAUCACUUCUGGUACUGCUGUAGGAUGGCUGACAACUAUGACCAAUUCUUUGACAUGUGGAUUGGGCUCCUCCAUCAUGUUACUGGUGAGCAUUCAUGGGCACUUGGUAGCUUCAUGGUCCCCUUACUGAGAUCAGGGACAAGAAUUGGAUUGAGUCCAACUCUGUAGCCCAUCAGAAGCUUAGGGAAUUAAUUCUGGAUGUACGAUGGCUCAAGGACAUCCCCAAGUAUCUGCAUUUCAGAUCAACUGCUGAACUUGAGUCAUUCCACAACCACAUAGUGAUGUACGCCAGUAAACGCUUCUGCUUUAUGCCUGCUGUGUACAAUGCACGCAUCUUACUUGCAGUACUUGACUACUGCCACCACAUCAACAGAU